ensembl:lncRNA
CCCCUGUCCUACCCCUUUCUCCAGCUGUAACUAUAUAACCCAACCCCCUGUCCUACCCCUUUCUCCAGCUGUAACUAUAUAACCCAACCCCCUGUCCUACCCCUUUCUCCAGCUGAAACUAUAUAACCCAACCCCCUGUCCUACCCCUUUCUCCAGCUGUAACUAUAUAACCCAACCCCUGUCCUACCCCUUUCUCCAGCUGUAACUAUAUAACCCAACCCCUGUCCUACCCCUUUCUCCAGCUGUAACUAUAUAACCCAACCCCUGUCCUACCCCUUUCUCCAGCUGUAACUAUAUAACCCAACCCCCUGUCCUACCCCUUUCUCCAGCUGUAACUAUAUAACCCAACCCCCUGUCCUACCCCUUUCUCCAGCUGUAACUGAGUUUGCAUCCCAAUAUUACACUUUAUAUACAUCAAAGUAGACUGAAAUAUUACAAAACUGUUUGACAUAGAAACACCGAAUUUUCAUCAUGUAAAAAAACAAUGAAAUGAUGAAGAACAUUCCACCCAUGUGGCCUCUGGGUAAUUUGACUGCAGGAAAGGGCUACUAGAGUGGAUAUAGUGGUAGGGGUCAACCCCCCGGUGUAUCGAGGCGCUGCAGCAAAUGGUUGAAACAGGGCUAACCUUCACUGAUGAGUCAAUAGGAUGGCUGUAAACAUGAUUAACUUCUGAUCUAUGGUAAUGGCUGCAACAUGACCUCUGUACAGGCACAUGAUUAACUUCUGAUCUAUGGUAAUGGCUGCAACAUGACCUCUGUACAGGCUGGGGAAUAAUCUGACAUACAGGAUGAAUAUCAUUUAUAACUAGGUUUAUAUUGACACAUUAUACAUAUACUGUAUAUUUGGCUGUUUAGUCUAUUGUAAUGGAAGUCCAUUGUCAGCUAUGUACCUCUUGUAUGAAUGAAUAAAAGCCUUUAUCUCCUGUAUAUCUUAAGAUCAUUAGUCAUGAUAAAGUGACUGCAGGAGAUAAGUGAAACAAUAGAGCAACAGAGCUUAUUAUUCUAGACCAUGUUAACCUUGUUACCCUGCUAGUGAGAGAGUAAUAGUUCACAACUAGUUGACAGGUAAUGUGAUGUAGGGCUUACUCAGUGCACUGCGUAGGGCUUACUCAGUGCACUGCGUAGGGCUUACUCAGUGCACUGCGUAGGGCUUACUCAGUGCCCUGCGUUGGGC